rnacentral:tRNA from 1 species
GUUGUCGUGGCCGAGUGGGUAAGGCGAUGAAUAAGAAUAAAAUCUUUUGGGAUUUUCCCGCGCAGGUUCGAUUCCUGCCGACAUCG